rnacentral:rRNA from 1 species
AUUGAACGCUGGCGGCAUGCCUUACACAUGCAAGUCGAACGGUAACAGGUCUUCGGGUGCUGACGAGUGGCGAACGGGUGAGUAAUACAUCGGAACGUGCCUAGUAGUGGGGGAUAACUACUCGAAAGAGUGGCUAAUACCGCAUGAGAUCUACGGAUGAAAGAAGGGGAUCGCAAGACCUUGUGCUACGAGAGCGGCCGAUGGCAGAUUAGGUAGUUGGUGGGAUAAAAGCUUACCAAGCCGACGUUCUGUAGCUGGUCUGAGAGGACGAUCAGCCACACUGGGACUGAGACACGGCCCAGACUCCUACGGGAGGCAGCAGUGGGGAAUUUUGGACAAUGGGCGAAAGCCUGAUCCAGCAAUGCCGCGUGCAGGAUGAAGGCCUUCGGGUUGUAAACUGCUUUUGUACGGAACGAAAAGCCCCGGGUUAAUACCCUGGGGUCAUGACGGUACCGUAAGAAUAAGCACCGGCUAACUACGUGCCAGCCGCCGCGGUAA